UGUAUUCCUUAUCUGUUAUCUAUUUUAUAUGUUUAAUAUGGAGCCUAUCUUCCAGCUAUUUUGCUGUAAAAACAGCUGGAAGAUAGGCCCUGAUGUAGUUGCCGCUUUAACUCUCAGA
rnacentral:sRNA from 21 species